UGGGGAAUAUUGCACAAUGGGGGAAACCCUGAUGCAGCGACGCCGCGUGAGCGAAGAAGGCUUUCGAGUCGUAAAGCUCUGUCCUAUGAGAAGAUAAUGACGGUAUCAUAGGAGGAAGCCCUGGCUAAAUACGUGCCAGCAGCCGCGGUAAUACGUAUGGGGCGAGCGUUGUCCGGAAUUAUUGGGCGUAAAGGGUACGUAGGCGGUUUUUUAAGUCAGGUGUCAAAGCGUGGAGCUUAACUCCAUUAAGCACUUGAAACUGAAAGACUUGAGUGAAGGAGAGGAAAGUGGAAUUCCUAGUGUAGCGGUGAAAUGCGUAGAUAUUAGGAGGAAUACCGGUGGCGAAGGCGACUUGCUGGACUUCAACUGACGCUGAGGAACGAAAGCGUGGGUAGCAAACAGG
rnacentral:rRNA from 1 species